rnacentral:snoRNA from 1 species
GCCCUCUCAGGGUCGCACCUGGAGAGUUUCCAGUACUCUACCAAUCACGACUACAGGAGGGAGAGUCAAGCAGAGGCUUACCCAUUCCAUUCCUAGCUUGGCCAGUGGCUAGUGAGUAGAAGGCAAUCUGCUACAAGU